AUCAAAACUAGUCCUGAAAAAAUUUGCAAAUAUAAUGCUGAUUUUUGUUGUUUGCCUUCUAAAUUAAUUAUUGAUUAAUUGAACAUGUUUAGAAGAAACAGACAAUUACUUAUAUGCCAUUGUGGGGCAUAUUAAUCAAUAACUGCAUUUGCAUUAUAGUGAAAUAUCUGGUUUAUAUGGCGGAGUUCUAAAUGACCAAAUGGGUCUCUUAAAAAGGUGUAUGUAAAUAAAUCAUUACUCAUAAAAGAGCAUAAAGUCAAUAUUCCAAGAACGGUUGCAAAGAUUUUGAAAUUUUAUCAAGAAUUUUAGAGAAUUCCCUGGAUAGAACAGGAACGAGUCGAGACCACUAUUUGCCAAAUAAACUUUUUAAACUAUAAUGUAAACACAUUUCCAUAGAUCGUAGUUAUUGUAAAAAAGAAGAAAAUAAAUAAUACUGAAAAAA